CACGGAAUUAGCCGGUCCUUAUUCGUAUGGUACCUGCAAAUAGGGACACGCCCCUAACUUUAUCCCCAUACAAAAGCAGUUUACAACCCAUAGGGCCGUCAUCCUGCACGCUACUUGGCUGGUUCAGACUUCCGUCCAUUGACCAAUAUUCCUCACUGCUGCCUCCCGUAGGAGUUUGGACCGUGUCUCAGUUCCAAUGUGGGGGACCUUCCUCUCAGAACCCCUACUGAUCGUUGCCUUGGUGGGCCCGUUACCCCGCCAACAAGCUAAUCAGACGCAUCCCCAUCCAUUACCGAUAAAUCUUUACUUCAAAUCUGAUGCCGUCAUCGAAGACUAUGCGGUUAUUAGUCUGCCCUUUCGGCUAGGUUACUCCCAACAGUUAAGUGGGAAGGUUUGGAUACGCGUUACUCACCCGUGCCGCCGGUCGACGUCCAAAGAGUGCGAAGCACUCAAUCGCCCGUUUCCCUCGACUUGCCAUGUUGUUAAGCCGUAGUA
rnacentral:rRNA from 1 species